CUCGGUGCCCCCUGCAGCCCCCUCAGCCCUGGAGGAGGUGGAGAAAGAGGGCGCUGGGGCGGCUACAGGGCCGGGGCCUCAGCCCGGGCUCUACAGCUACAUCAGGGAUGACUUGUUUACCUCUGAGAUCUUCAAACUGGAGCUGCAGAACGUGCCUCGCCACGCCAGCUUCAGCGACGUCCGGCGCUUCCUGGGCCGCUUUGGUCUGCAGCCCCACAAAACCAAACUCUUUGGGCAACCACCCUGCGCCUUUGUGACAUUCCGCAGCGCUGCAGAGAGGGACAAGGCCCUGCGCGUUUUGCAUGGUGCCCUCUGGAAAGGCCGCCCACUCAGUGUGCGCCUGGCCCGGCCCAAGGCGGACCCCAUGGCCAGGAGGAGGCGACAGGAGGGUGAGAGUGAGCCACCAGUAACACGAGUGGCCGACGUGGUGACCCCUUUAUGGACAGUGCCCUAUGCUGAGCAGCUUGAGCGGAAGCAGCUGGAGUGCGAGCAGGUGCUGCAGAAACUUGCCAAGGAAAUCGGGAGCACCAACCGUGCCUUGCUGCCCUGGCUGCUUGAGCAGAGGCACAAGCACAACAAGGCCUGCUGCCCACUGGAGGGGGUCAGGCCAUCACCCCAGCAGGUCAGGCUAGACUUCGGUGGCCACAAACCCCUAUCCCGGGUUUUGAAAAACUUUGCUUUUGCUCACCCUUUCUGUUGAUCUCCCUGCUUUGUGUUUUCUUCUGGUAACUUAUCACAUAGUUGUCAGCUGUUCCUCUUGUUUGACUGCCAGCCCCUGUGGGGAAAUCAGGGUUUCCAGGCACAAGCGCUGGGCAGCCAGGGUAAGGUGCAGCUCUCUCCCUGCAGACUGAGUAUCGUAAUAAAUGUGAGUUUCUGGUUGGCGUCGGGGUGGAUGGGGAGGAUAACACCGUGGGCUGUCGGCUCGGCAAGUACAAGGGCGGGACGUGUGCUGUGGCA
rnacentral:sRNA from 1 species